GUUUUAAUAGUUUAAAGAAAACACUGGUCUUGUAAAUCAGAAAUAAGGUCUUCCUUUUAAAACU
rnacentral:tRNA from 1 species